UUACCCUUUGAAUGCCUUGAAAAUGCUGUCAUUUUCUAUUAAAAGUAAAAACCAUUUUGUGGUCUCAAAUUAAGGAGUUGUAAAAAUUUCCUUUACAAACUCACCUGGACCGAGUAACAAACUUGGGCUUGGUUUGAACAGACAAUUAAAAUCAAGUUCCUAAUGUUUCCCUAAUCAGCUCUCUCUCUCUCUCUCUCUCUGAUCAAAAAGCAAAUUCCAUUCAGCCAAAAGGGUACAAAUCUAAGCAAACUGGAAACCCAUUGACGUGAGCUCAAUCCAGAACAUACGAUGGCCGAAUCGCCCCGGGAAAGAAAGAUAGUUGUGCCAAAAAUAAACCUAGAGGAGGUGAAGAACACAACAUUGGUGUCGUCCUCAUCACCGUCAUCCCCUACCACUCUCCGAAAGGCCUCGAGCGUGAAGUACAAUUGCCUCUGCUCUCCAACCACCCACGCCGGAUCCUUUCGCUGCCGGUACCACCGCAACUCCGGCCUCACCCGCAGCAGCAUCUCGGUCGGCGCGAAACUGUCCGCGUAUGGUUCUGUUGGCUCUGAACUCGCUGAGAUUGAGAGCAAAUGCACACUCAAUAAGCUGCAAAUAUGAAAAUGUGAUGAAAUUGAACUGUGGUGGUUGAAAUUUGUUUGUAUUGGUAUCUGAGGAACUGAUCUGAAACUGCUUAUGAAUAACUUAUGUCAUUUGGUUUGUAAGUAUUGAUGAUGGUUGUGGUUCUUGGAU